ACUCAUGUCCUACGUCCCGUCCCCCUUAUAAAUAUAGCUCGAUCCUAGCCCUCUUCGUUCAUUGCACACCUUGUGAGGCAAAGAACUUAGCUUAGCAUUUUUUUUCUAUAGCUUUGUAUAGGCUUUUCUUCGUCUAGAUUCUGAUUCAUACUGUAAAUUAUCAGUACAGGAGAAUCUGUAAAGCUCAGGAGGGAUAGCACCAGCCAUGUAGUACUCUAACGAUGAUCAUCAUGUUAGGGUGUGAUCAGUACUGGUGCUAUCUAUCCUGAGUUGCACGGGUUCUUCUUACUUUCUCUGGUGUAUAGCGAUUGCUAGCUGCUCCGAUGAUCAGUGGUCUCGAUCGGCUCCGAUCGAGGAUAUUGAUCGGAUAUUUGAAAUCUGGGUCUAUAUAAUACUUUAUUUUCUAUUUUAUUAUGCUCAACACUAUAUGCUUAUUCUUAAAGACAGAAACUUGGUUUUUAUUUUUAUUUUUUUUAUUUGUGUUUUUUAAAUAGCUAUAUAUGUUCGUUUUCUUCCAGCUUCGUGUUGCUGGGAUGGGUUAAUUUAAUUGUUUGAUGGUCGUUCUCACUCCUCAUACUGUCAUACUCAUAUUUUUUGAAGUCUUUUAAAUAUAAAUUCUGGGACCUGCAUAUAAUUAAGAUGGGUUACUCUGGAUGGAUCGAUGUGUAUCUUCUGUAUCACGAUUAUGAGUUACAUCUGUGAUUAUUUAUGUUGGGAAAAAGCUGGUUUCAUUAGUACCAUAUAUGCACUUGUUCUGGGUAUAAUUUUAGGGAAUUGGAACAUAUGGCAACAGAAAUGAUCUGGUCCUUCUAUCCACUUGAUCAUACCCAACCACCGCUCCUUAAUUACUUUACUUGAAUCUAGUCUGCAUGCGUGCCAAUUUGCUGCUGGAUCUCAUUUCUCAUACUUCUAACUGUUGCUGGUAUUUUUUGGUCAAUUAUUCUUUGAGAUUUGGAAUGACUUGUUUUUUACAUGGCUAUUGAUCCUGACUUCUUUUGGUUUCCUAAUAUUUCAGGUUUACCAUCAAGAGUAAUCUGAAGUUUCCUCCAGAAGAUGAUCCUAACUCGUUGUGCCUGGAUUUAAAUUCCUGCUUAAAUUUCUCUUUAUCAAAACUUUGGAACUUAUUGAAGUCUAAUAUACUUUUUCUGUUCUUUUAGCUAGUAUUUAUUAAGCGUCAGUUUGAAACCCUAGGUGAGAGCGUUUCAAAUAAUUGAAGCUGAGCUAGGGUUUCAUGUUUGACUGAAAGUUUUGCAGGCUUUUGACUGGUGGGUAUCAGGCAACUGUAGAUAUUUGCUCCUUUCCAACUCCGUUCAGAACGCAUGCAGUCCUUUCACUUUCAUUUCUACAUUAUCUUGUUCAUCAGCAUCAUUAUUGCCUGUGCAGAGCAAAUCUGAUGCAACGUACCGGAUCGUCUGCUCUGGGCCUUGUUGCAAAGCGUUGAGAUUUGAGAAGCCUGACCUAACUUUAGGGUACAUGUUAUCAUUACUGUUUGGGGACAGAGAAAGCAAUCACUUGUAAUAGAUCAUUGAACCUUCUGAUAUUAUGAUUGUAUCUUUAUCCUCACAUGGUAAUGUGCUUGAACAGGAACCCCGACUUAUUUCGAGGUUUUUGAAAAGAUUUGCUUCUAAAACAACCUCAAAAAGUUCUAUAUAACUUUUAAGAAUUGCUGUGGAA